AUAAACUUAACAAACCAGAUGAGUGGUGUUGCAUAAGUCAAAUACAGAGAAUCAAAAACAUCGUCUCUUCACGACUCACUUACGGCGAUUCACAAGACUGAGUUGAAUCCUUACGUUUCUCAUGCCCCUGUCUUCUUCUUUUAUUUUCUAUCUGAUAUCCGCAUCCUAAUCCUAUGAUUGAUAUUGGUUUGGUGGCAAAUACGAUUGGUUCGAUUAAGGACACGCUAGGGAAAUGGGUGAAGUUGGCUGCCAACACUACCAAGAAGGCCUAGGAUUAGAUAAAUGAUCAUAUCAAUUGGUAAUUGGAUUUCGUUCGACAACACUGUGCAGUUCCAUCUCCAACACUUAGCAGCCAUGCAUCGAAGUUUGCUUGUGAUUCUUGAAGUCUCAUGAUCUUUUUUAGGGAGAAAACUUUGCAAGAGUCCCACAAGUAUGAUUGUUUAAUUGAUGCUAAUACUGUAUCAGCUCGAGAACCUUGUGGAAUAACUGGUAGUGUUUCAUCAAUCUUUUCCGGAAAUUCAAGAGAAAUUCAAGUACCUUCUUGUCUAUGAGCAGUAAUUCGAGCCCCAUAAGUAAGCCAUCUUUUUUAGGAUUGCGUGCUUCCAGACGUGGAUGAUCCUAACAACAAUUUCUUUGUUAGUAAACCUUUUGAUAACUCAUCAAAAACCAAGGAGGGAAGUAAUUGAGCUGAAGGAGGAGAAGAUGCAGGUGCCAUUGUAAUUCAAUGAGCUCUCUCAUUGAUCUCGAGGAACUAUAUGUUUAGGUGGAGCUAUGGUUUUCAAUGAUAUUGAGCUUGUUCCAUUCUCUGUUUUAGAUGGCUAUUUAUACAUGAAAUCUAACGUAGAAUUUGUAAGCUUUCCCUUUUUUUUUUUUGCUUCUAAGUAGAAUUCUUCCCUUUUUGUUUGAGCUAAAAGUUCCUUUUUUAA